rnacentral:other from 1 species
CGAUUCCUGCUGUGCGCGUGUCGUUUCAAAAGAAACAACAGCGGCCCGUUAAACCCACAUCACUUAUAAGGGAUGCCGAUUUGAGUCUGCGGAUUGCAGGCCUCCCGGCCGCCUGCGGCCGGAUGUUGGAAGCAGCGAAACAGAACUUAGGCGACCCACCUGCCCAUUCGUGCAGGUUAUAACCGGGCCGACACGGCUCUAGCGGGAGACUC